rfam:Capsicum annuum cultivar Zunla-1 chromosome 5, whole genome shotgun sequence
UAUGGGCCAAUUGAAAUUGAAAAUUGUCAUUUUGACUUCACCGCGAUGCGGUGCUUGUUGAAAUGGCAUACUAUUUUACUAAAAACACCGUAACUUCUAAAUCGAGUAUCAGAUUAAGGUUAAAUUGGUAUCAUUGGAAACCUAAUUCAAUUUUGUACAAACUGUAGGGUAUAUAACUGGAAAAUUCUACACGCACCAAUCGUUAUUCAUAUUUCAAAGAUAACCUUAACAUUCGAGGAGUUAAAUUAAGCUAGGAAAAAAUAUGGGGUAUUACAGUUUUGGUCCUAUUACGUUGGACUUUGGGAUUGGAUUAAUGAUUAAUAGGGAUAGUCGGGGUCAUUCAUAAUUCACAGUCAGAGGUGAUAUUCUUGGAUUUAUGUAAGAUAAACAAUUAUGAAAGCAUUUGCCAAGGACAUUAUCAUUAAUCAAGAGUGAAAGUUGAGGGCUUGAAGAUGAUCAGAUACCAUCCUAGCCUCAACCAUAAAUGAUGCUGACUAAGGAUCGGCGGAUGUUGCUUUUAGGAUUCCGUUGACACCUUAUGAGAAAUCAAUGUUUUUGGGUUUCUGGGGGAGUAUUGUUGCAAGAAGGAAACUUAAAAGUUUUGAUGGAAGGGCACCAGCAGGAGUGGAGCCUGCGACAUAAUUUGACUCAACACACGGAAAGUUAUAAGGUCCACACAUAGUACGGAUUGAUAGACUGAGAGCUCUUUCUUGAUUCUAUGGGUAGUGAUGCAUGACCAUUCUUAGUUGGUGGAACAAUUUGUCUGGUUAAUUGUAUUAACGAAUAAGACCUCAGCCUGCUAACUAGCUAUAUGGAGGUAUCCCUUCGUGGCCAUCUUCUUAGAGGGACUAUGACCUUUUAGGCUGCAGAAGUUUUAGGCAAUAAUAGGUCUGUAAUGCCCUUAGAUAUUUUGGGCCACAAGCGCACUACACUAAUGUAUUCAACGAGUUUAUAGCCUUGGCCGACAGGCUCGGGUAAUCAUUGAAAUUUCAUUAUAAUUGGGAUAGAUCAUUUCAAUUAUUGGUCUUUAAUGAGGACAUCCUAGUAAGCGCGAGUCAUCAGCUCGCAUUGACUACGUCCCUGCCCUUUCUACACACCGUCCGUCGCUCCUACUGAUUGAAUGAUCUGAUAAAAUAUUUGGAUAGCGACAACGUGAGUGGUUCACUUCCCGUGAAAUCGCAGAAGUCCAUUAAACCUUAUCAUUUAGAGUAAGAAGAAGUCGUAAUAAGGUUUUCGUAGGUGAACCUGCAUAAGGAUCAUUA